GACGAACCGUGCGAACGUUAUUCGGAUUCACUGGGCUUAAAGGGCGCGUAGGCGGGUCCGCAAGUCGAUCGUGAAAUCUCCCGGCUCAACCGGGAGGGUGCGCCGAAAACUGGGAGACUAGAGUGCGGGAUGGGAGAGUAGAAUUCCUGGUGUAGCGGUGAAAUGCGUAGAUAUCAGGAGGAAUACCGGUGGUGUAGACGGCUCUCUGGACCGCCACUGACGCUGAGACACGAAAGCGUGGGUAGCAAACAGG
rnacentral:rRNA from 1 species